GGCUGGUCCGAUGGUAGUGGGUUAUCAGAAUUUAUUAACAUUAAUGUCACUAAAAGUUGGCAUUCAACCCCCCACAGCUAAAUUUGAAUGGCUUAAA
rnacentral:Y_RNA from 1 species